rnacentral:lncRNA from 1 species
GAUGAAAUGAGAACCAGCCAUAAUGUUUGGUUAAAUCUCAAUCCUUAUGUCUUAUGCACUUCUGUUAAUUAAAUGUUUUGGAAAAUAGCUCUACACUGACUUAAAUAAGAGAGAGCAUCCAAAGAAGAAAGGUGCCAGAAAAGACAGAAAAAAAGUAAUGGGAAAGAAAACGGCAAGACAACUGCUUGGGUGGCUGUUGCCUUAGUAACAGGAGGGUAAUUAAGAGGGUGAGGAUCGAUGUAAUAGAUUAGUAGGGGAACAGAAUAAACACUAUGCGGUGAAGAAAGGGAUGGUAUAUAAAAGGGAAGCCUCUCACGCCAAGGGGACUGGUUGUAAUGACACCGAAUGAAAUUCUAUGGGAGAGAAGACCAUAAUUCAAUAUGCUGCGACCAUGGAGUGGGCUAGGGCAUUGGAGAAAAUUACUGCGGGCAUGGAAACAGCCGGACCCCUGAUCCAACGCAAACACACCGCCACCACGUUUCCAGGACAGAAGCAGAGUACGGUAAACAGAAGAGGAACUAUUCAAGAGGCAGCGUACAGCAGGCGGUAUGUACAUAAGAAAAGUUAUGAAUUUAGGGUAGACCAUAGAUGGGGGUGGGCAAACGUUUUGGC